AUGAAUGCAAAGUCCGGAAGAGAGAGAAAGCAAGCAUGGGACAGGUCGAGCCGGAAUCUGGUGAAUGCUGCUUUUUCUCAGACCACCAAACCAGUUGACCACGUUAGUUGCAAGCCAGGCGGGAUCCCAGCAGACACCACAGGGUCGUUUCCACUGGCUGAGUGGAGGGUGCCCUCCGUGGUAGGUCACAGCUCACUGGCUAGACCUCUGACUUCACCUUGUCAGACAGCUGACCUUUCCCAGAAGCCAUCUUCCAGGACGAAGAACAAACUAAAUUCAUCGCAAAAUGAUUAUAAAUCAUCAAGACGGAGCAGCCUGCCACCUGAAUUACUCAUAGGAAAUGAUAUUAAAGCAAGACUUCAAAGAAACUUUAGAAACUUGGAACCCAUUCACCUGAGGCGCCCAAAAAAGAGACCAUCCAUAUUUCCAGCUGAAUGGCUAUGAUUGAAAGUGUACCGGCUCAUCUGCUAGAGCAGAGUCUGUGCCAGAAGAAUCUUUGGAACAGCAGCAAAAUUCAUGAGAUUUUUGUGAGUUUCACUGUGUUCUUUGAAUGCUGGCUUCUGGAAAGAUCUAUGGGCAGCCACAGGCACAGCGAGAAUUAGACACAGCCAGAAUUCACCAUCUGCCACUGCUCUUGGGAGUGUACGAAGAUGAUGACUGUUAAUAUUAUUAAUUAUUCAUCAUGAGACAUUUAUUAAAACUCCACAGUAUUCUGCUGCUGAAACUCAUGCAUUCAAUUAAACAGACAUAAGAAACAGAAAUGUCUCUCUUCCUCAAAAAAAAAAAAAGUGAAAAGAGCUGGCUUUAAGCAAACAAUUUAUAGUAAACUAUACUAAUUUUUUUUCUCUCUGUGUCAGGAGAUAAUACAUUCAUGUUGAAGAAAUGCAAGAUAUAAGUGCAUGGGCCUGAUACUUAGACUAAAAUCCACACAUGAAGACAGAUGUUUAAAUGUGGACCUUACCUAUAUUUCAUUCAUCAGUAGUAGAAUCAGAUUAAUAAAAUUUCAGCUUUGAAAAGGACUCUGAGAUAG
rnacentral:lncRNA from 1 species